rnacentral:rRNA from 1 species
UACGUAGGGUGCGAGCGUUGUCCGGAAUUAUUGGGCGUAAAGGGCUCGUAGGCGGUUUGUCACGUCGGGAGUGAAAACUCAGGGCUCAACCCUGAGCCUGCUUCCGAUACGGGCAGACUAGAGGUAUGCAGGGGAGAACGGAAUUCCUGGUGUAGCGGUGAAAUGCGCAGAUAUCAGGAGGAACACCAAUGGCGAAGGCAGAUCUCUGGGCCGUUACUGACGCUGAGGAGCGAAAGCAUGGGGAGCGAACAGG